rnacentral:Y_RNA from 1 species
GGUUGGUCCAAGUACAGUGGUGUUUACAACUAAUUGAUCAUAACCAGUUAUGGAACAACUCCUUUGUUCCUUCUCCACUCCCACUGCUUCCCUUGAUAAGCAAAU